UACAGAGGGUGCAAGCGUUAAUCGGAGUUACUGGGCGUAAAGGGCUCGUAGGCGGCCAACUAAGUCGGACGUGAAAUCCCUCGGCUUAACCGGGGAACUGCGUCCGAUACUGGAUGGCUUGAGUUCGGGAGAGGGAUGCGGAAUUCCAGGUGUAGCGGUGAAAUGCGUAGAUAUCUGGAGGAACACCGGUGGCGAAGGCGGCAUCCUGGACCGAUACUGACGCUGAGGAGCGAAAGCCAGGGGAGCAAACGGG
rnacentral:rRNA from 1 species